rnacentral:tRNA from 3 species
AGAUGAAAGAGGGGGAUAUGGCGAAAUUGGUAGACAUAGUAAGAGGAAAAUCCGUCGACUUAAGAAAUCGUGAGGGUUCAAGU